rnacentral:lncRNA from 10 species
UUCAUGACAGUAGCGCCCCCUCUGGGAGAUGCCCCAAACUCGGAGAGCGCCCAGAGGCGGAGAGCAGGAGAGGAGGGCACGUGACCCCCACCCCGGGGACCAAUCAGCGCCCGCGGGAGGGGGCCACACUCGGCGCCCCCCACCCAUCCCGGCGCGCUUGGAGAUAGACGUUUUCUUUGUCCUUUUGUCAGCUCUUGGGGGCCCCCGAACCCCCAGGCCCCCACUGCAGCGGGGGGGAUCCGGACCGGCCGGCCCUCCCCUCCAACACCACUGCGACCCCUGCCCCGCGGCCUGGACCCGCGACUCGUCCUGUUCUGGGCUGGACAGGAGGCCGGAGAGGACUCGGGCGCCCAAGGUGGAAACUGAGACCCAGAGAGCCGUGACUUGACUGAUCCCACAGCCAGGAAAUGGUGGAGCCUGGAUUUGAACCCCAGCUUUUAAGAAGAAGGUGCCACUGUCCUGGAAGAACUCUCAGGACAGCAUUAGUGUCUCAGGGAUCCCCCUAAUCGGAGGGGCCUUAAGCCUAAUCAUGAUUGUCACUGAAGAUCCAGGAGGGCUUCCUGGAGGAGGAGGCAGCUCCAUUCUGAAAUGCCAAGGGUACAGCUUUAUUGGGACAGCCAGUGUCUCUGAAUAUGUAGGUUUUGCACAGAGCUUGUACUGCCCCAGGGCCUGUACACUGCCUGUCCCCUCUGCCUUGUGCACUCUUUCCCUAGAUGUCCAAAUGGCUCCUUUCCUCACCUACCCCAAAUCUCAAUUCCAGUGUUUCCCCAGCCUCCCCUCAUUUCAGUAAUCACUCUGCAGUGAGCUAGGAUUGCGCCACUGCACUCCAGCUUGGAUAAGAGAACAAGACCCUGUCUCUUAACUAAAUACAUAAAUAAAAAUAAUUCCCCUCUUCAUCCCUCUUUACCCUGUUUUGAUGGUUUUGUUCAACUUUUCACCAAUAGGACUUUCUCUUAUGCAUUUACUCGUUUCUCUUCCAAUCCCUCCC